rnacentral:rRNA from 1 species
GACGAACGCUGGCGGCGUGCUUAACACAUGCCAGUCGAACGGAAAGGCCCUGCUUUUGUUGGGUGCUCGAGUGGCGAACGGGUGAGUAACACGUGAGUAACCUGCCCUUGACUUUGGGAUAACUUCAGGAAACUGGGGCUAAUACCGGAUAGGAGCUCCUGCUGCAUGGUGGGGGUUGGAAAGUUUCGGCGGUUGGGGAUGGACUCGCGGCUUAUCAGCUUGUUGGUGGGGUAGUGGCUUACCAAGGCUUUGACGGGUAGCCGGCCUGAGAGGGUGACCGGCCACAUUGGGACUGAGAUACGGCCCAGACUCCUACGGGAGGCAGCAGUGGGGAAUAUUGCACAAUGGGCGGAAGCCUGAUGCAGCAACGCCGCGUGCGGGAUGACGGCCUUCGGGUUGUAAACCGCUUUCGCCUGUGACGAAGCGUGAGUGACGGUAAUGGGUAAAGAAGCACCGGCUAACUACGUG